UCACGGGCCUAGGUUGUACGGGUUUGCAGUCUUCGGGCGACUGUUCAAGAGGCCUUCGCUGGUCGGGUGGGUGUCGCCAGGAGGAUGCAGCUUUGCGCCAAAGUCAGGGAGGGCGCCCAAAGCCGCGAACAAGGUUCAGCGCCCUCCAAAGCCAACUCGGUCCUAUUCAAACCUCGCGCGCCCAUUGGAACAGCCCCCUGGGGCGGGGCAUACGUAGGCCACCUGAGUGGCGGCUCUUGGCUCCAGUGAAUGGCCUGCUUCGUGCUAGCUCUGACCCCACCCCCCAGGAGGGAGGAACGGCACAGAUAAAGAAAACAGAGCCUCCAAGAGGUGAUGCAGCCGGCCCAGUCACACAGCCAUCAGUAGUCGAGCAGGAUUUGAACCCACAUCUUCUGACUCUAGAGGCCAGGCUCUGAACCACUGUGUUACAGUCACCCCAUUCUGGGGCCUCUGCUCUCGACCCCAGCUGCCAUCCUGACUCAGCAACUGUGGGUGGCCUUGCUCCGGUGCAUGGGCAGCAGAGCCAGUGAGAAGCCUCCCAGUUCCUUGAAAACCAAAUAUGGCCAGACCAGGCCCUCAAAGGCCCGACUCCAAGGCUGGUCUUGCUCUUGCCUGCUCCUCUGUGCUGUGGGGCCCUACUCCCUGUGCAACCCCCUGGCUCUGCCCCAGGGGACUCUGGGAGAGCCUCCAUCCAGAGGCCCCUCCUCAUAGGAUCUUGUUGAGCAAGUUACUGAAGGAGAACACGUGAGACCAGUAUCUCUUCCGUGCUGCAGUAAUUCCCAACUCCAAGCCUUUGCUCAUGCAGUCCCCUCCACCUGGACUUCCUCUCCCUCUCUAACCCACUCUUAUGCAUUCUUUGGGGCCCAAUGUGAGCUAUCAGGAAGGGUUACCUCCUGACUGUAUGACCUGGAGUAAAUCUCUCAUCCUAUCCGUUUGUCUGUCGGUCCGUCCAUCUAUCCAUCCAUCCAUCCUUCCAUCCAGUGGGCACCUACCUGUGCCAGGCAUUUUACAUAUAGUCUCUCCUUUCAGACUAGAAGCUCCUUAAGGAUUGCAGACCAAGUGUAGAAGAUAAUUGUUCAACUAAUAUCCAUGGGCCAAGUCCUGUCCUUACUACAGUCCUGGCGAGGCUCUUAUCAUUAUCACCCCCUUUUCACAGUUGGGAAGACUGUACUCAGAUAGGGGAAGUACAAGGGACUCAGCAGAGAUGAGUGGAGUUGAGACUUGAACCCUGAUCUGUUGGACUCUGGAGGCCAAGUUCCUAACCACUAGGCAGUACUGCCCAACUCCUAAUGGAGGGAGUUGGUGGUGAGAGUCAGGUCCUGGGAGACCACUUCUCCUUCAGUUCUUGGCUCCCCGAGUAGUCCCCUUAACACAGCCUGAGGAAGCUGUACCUCGCCUACCUUCCUAUUCCGCACCUCUGUGACCAGAGCUGGUCUGACACUUGCCAGGGUGGCUGGGAGAGCAUUAAUUUUUUCCCUUGCCUUCCCCUGACUGAGACUUUGAGAAUGCCUGUCCCGUCUCAGGGCCUACAAAGUACUUUUCAAGGUCACCAGCUUCCUCACCUCAGCCCUGCAGGGGAGGCAGGGCAGGGAGGCUUUUCCUCAUAGUUCUGAUGGGGGACCUACAGCCCCAGCACUGGUCAUAUGCCACAUCAGGGGGUGGCCCAGCUGGGCCUGGAAUCUCUCGUUUCAAGGAACGGAGCCAUGGUAUGAGGUACUUAUGAGUCUGACAGAUUCCAGCUCUGCUACCCACCAGCUGUGCAGCCUUGUGGGAGUCCCUUCACCUCUCUGAACCUCAGUCUCCUCCUCUGAAAUAUGGGGACAGUGCUAGUACCCAUCUGAGUGAUGUUGGGAGGAUGAAAUGAACUAAUGCUUGUGAAGCACUUAGCCUGGAACAUAGUGGGUGCUCAGACAAUGAGGUUAUUAUUGUUCUAAGUGCCUAACACAGAACAUCAGAUCAGGAGGCUCAUCCAGGCCAAGGGUAAUAGCCCCUAACAUUCCUUUAUCACUGCUGUGUACCAGGCUCGUUCAUCAGAACAACGUCUCUAUAAUUGUGCCAUUUUACAGCUGGGGUAACUGAGGCUCAGAGAGGGAAAAUGACUUGCCCUAACUCCCUGCCCAGCAAGGGGAAGAGCCCAGGCUUGGACUCAAGUCUAUGUCUAUAAUUCAGCUCUGAUCCACUGUGCUGGAUUCUCCAUCUCCAUCAUGCUAAG